UUCCAGGCUCUCCAUGGCUAUGGCAGUGCAGGGGAAUUCUGUGAGGACUGCAGCGGCUCGGCUGCUGCCUGAAGGGGCGGUCCCAGGCAGGGAGCAGGGCUCUCUGCUGCUCUGCCUAAGCACAGGUACUGAUGUUUGUUCAGCAGCGUUUCACACACACCGAAGGGUUUGCAGCGAUGACCAGGCUGAGCUGUAACCUUGGAAUUAAACAAAACCAUUGAGGAUGAAACAAUGUCCUCAUUUUUAAGAAAGGAAACUGUAGAAGCCUUGCUUAAAUGAGGGCUCUUCUGUGGCAUGGUUUGAAGCCCUCUGCUUUUCCUUUGAAGGAAACGUCUUUGUGGGCAUGAUCUCUGUUUGAGGAGCUAUCUCACGUGUUUUCCUGCAGAAAGCUCCUGUGUGGAUUCUCCACGAGCAGCUGCUUCCUGAAGGGCUUCUCCCUCUGCUCUGGUGUGGGUGGUCCUCGGGCUGGGUAAGUGCUGCUGGAGGAUCCCAGCCCGAUCCGUUCAGGGUCAGGUUCCCAGGACAUCAGCGGCUCCUUCCCAGGGCUGGGGCGCUGAGUGGUCUCUCCCUUGGGGGUCCCUUGAGGGCAGCUUCCAGAGGGGGAAGCGGGAGAACGCGAGGGAACAGGCUCGGUGAGGCUGAUCCCGCACCCUCCGGAGCAGUUCCCGUGCCCCUGCUGAUCCCAGCACAGGCGCUCGCUGCCCAGUGAGCACGAGAAGCAAAACACUCAGCCCAUGUAAAAGUUUUCAAUGACGAUAUCACUGAUAGCACUGUCACCAAAAAUAAAACAAAUAAAACUCCUCCGCAGUGAUGCAGCACUAAGAAGCAGGCAUUCUUUGUUUGGCUGGAUGGAUGGGGCAGAACUCCACCAGGCGCACGCACUGCUGACAGAAAAUGCUCUUGUUUAUACGCUCGAUUUUACAUACGCGCUCCUCGG